GUGAACAUACCUACAACUGUUGCUUCGGCGGGUAGGCCGUCCCCUGAAAAGGACGCCUCCCGGCCCGGAACGGACCCCCUCGCGGGGCCCGGACCCGGCGCCCGCCGGAGGAUAACCAAACUCUAUUUUAACGACGUUUCUUCUGAGUGGCAUAAGCAAAAUAAUCAAAACUUUUAACAACGGAUCUCUUGGUUCUGGCAUCGAUGAAGAACGCAGCGAAAUGCGAUAAGUAAUGUGAAUUGCAGAAUUCAGUGAAUCAUCGAAUCUUUGAACGCACAUUGCGCCCGCCAGCAUUCUGGCGGGCAUGCCUGUUCGAGCGUCAUUUCAACCCUCAAGCUCUGCUUGGUGUUGGGGCCCCACGGUCGACGUGGGCCCUCAAAGGUAGUGGCGGACCCUCCCGGAGCCUCCUUUGCGUAGUAACAUUUCGUCACGCACUGGGAUCCGGAGGGACUCUUGCCGUAAAACCCCCCAAUUUUUCAAGGUUGACCUCG
rnacentral:rRNA from 1 species